AACGGAAGUUGUCUUUGCCUUGAGAAGACCUUUCCAUAAAAGUGCUUCCUGCUUACCCGGCCUUUCUCACAAAGUGGCCAAACAGCUAAUAACGGACUUGACACGGGUUUUCACCAAAUCCUCACACUCCUAAACCACUUCUCAUUAAGGAAGACCCGACGACAGCAGACACAAGGAUGGACCCUGCAACUCCUACCCCAAUUGAAAGUCUGCUUUUCGGCUUUUACUGGUCUCUGAAGUCCCUGGAGAUCUCCUUCAGUGCCAGCUCCGACCUUCAGCAUCCGGGACCAGCUCUGGCCAUCUCCCCACGAUCCUCCAAUCUUCUCUGCACUCCACCACUGAAAUCCCCACACACAUAGACAGUCACAGCACAGGGUAAACAAUGUACCCAAAAUAAACUCAUUCGAAAAACUUUAAA